rnacentral:lncRNA from 1 species
AUGAUUCAGCAAGGGCCUUUGAGACUGUUGUUUUCUUUUCUAGGCCCAAAAGACUCCUUCAGGCCCAAGUGUGAUUCUGACGAUGACAGUGUCACCAGUUGGAGGGGCCUCUGGCUGCCUGGACCCCUGAAUGACCGUGUGGCACAGGCCCCCUGCACAGGCUGCCAGGCUGAGCCAGUGAAAAUCCAACAAGGAAAUGACAACUGGGUGGCUGAUACUCCAUGCGCAACAACGAUGGAGUGAUGCCGGGAGCCUCCACGGGAGAUCCCACCCAUGACAAAGGUCAUGCGGAAGAGACCUGACAGGCAAAGGCGGAUCGGGCCUCAAGGGACCCCCUGAACCUGCUGGAGCAUCCACCCCAAAACCAGAAUCUGUCUGUCUUACUAUUUUGUGCCUUUCACCAACUCUUCUAACAUUAACAGGAGGUUAUCCCCGAUCACCUUUCUCUGCAAAAGUCAAUUUAGGGCUUUAGUUAAGAAGUCUCUUGGACACAAAAGGAAUAUUUCUAUUUUAACCCCUCUGUUGGCAUUCUAGCUUGCCUGACAGGUUUAUCCAUACUCUUGCAAUUAACACACAUGAUUGUUCACAACUCCCCAACCUUGAAAGGCACGGGAAGCCAAAACAUUCUAAAAGUCCUAAUGAGCAUAGAGUCCUUUAAGGGGUGAACAAUUAUUAGAAUAGAUAGUACUGGUAAAGGGCUUCAUUAUCGGGCCAGUGCUUGCUGCCGAGUGCCCAUAUCCCUUAUCCACUGUGCACCUGGGAGUGAUUGGUUAACGUGGUUGGAAUGUAAGAAAACAGCCUGCCUCCCAGACGUCUCAGCUUUUCGCAGGAUAGCCCUCACAGGGACAAGGAGGCAGGAGGCUGGGCUGCUCCGAGGGCUGGCCAUUCUGUCAAGGCCCCUGCCUAGUCCCUAGUCUGGCUUCUGAGACAGGAUGACCUCCCGCUCCCGACAAGUGCCUUCCCCACCCACCUCCCCUCCCCCUAGCAGAGUGCAAGCCAGAGACGUGCAGGAGGGAUGACUAUUUCAGGCCCAAGACCACUUCAUUGGUUGCGGGUCCACAUGUUCCUCUGUGUGUGUGUGAGUGGCUCAGUCAUGUCCAACUCUUAGUGACCCCAUGGACUGUCGCCUGCCAGGCUUCUCUGCCCACAGACUUCUCCAGGCAAGAAUACUGGAGUGGGUUGCCAUUCCCUCUUCCAGGGGUUCUUCCCGACCCAGGGAGGGAAACUGAGUCUCCUACAUUGCAGGCAGAGUCUUUACCAUCUGAGCCACCAGGGAAUCCCAUCUGCUCCUUUAGUAGCAAACAAUCCCCACAUUCUUUUAGUCUCUGAAUGCUUUUUUGAACCCUUUAUCAGCUGAGCCAGUGAAAAUCCAACAAGGAAAUGACAACUGGGUGGCUGAUACUCCAUGCGCAACAACGAUGGAGUGAUG